GACGAACGCUGGCGGCGUGCUUAACACAUGCAAGUCGAACGGUAAGGCCCUUCGGGGUACACGAGUGGCGAACGGGUGAGUAACACGUGGGUGAUCUGCCCUGCACUUCGGGAUAAGCCUGGGAAACUGGGUCUAAUACCGGAUAGGACCACUGCCUGCAUGGGCGGUGGUGGAAAGCUUUUGCGGUGGCGGAUGGGUCCGUGGCCAAUCAGCGUGUGGGGGGGGUGAUGGCCUACCAAGGCGACGACGGGUAGCGGGCUUGAGAGGGUGACGGGCCACACUGGGACUGAGAUACGGCACAGACUACUACGGGAGGCAGCAGUGGGGAAUAUUGCAAAAUGGGCGCAAGCCUGAUGCAGCGACGCCGCGUGAGGGAUGACGGCCUUCGGGUUGUAAACCUCUUUCAGCACCGACGAAGCGCAAGUGACGGUAGGUGCAGAAGAAGGACCGGCCAACUACGUGCCAGCAGCCGCCGUAA
rnacentral:rRNA from 1 species